ACGUAAUAGAUACCCAGGUAGUCCACGCCCUAAACGAUGUCUACUAGUUGUUGGUGGAGUAAAAUCCAUGAGUAAACGCAGCUAAACGCGUGAAGUAGACCGCCUGGGGAGUACGGUCGCAAGAUUAAAACUCAAAGGAAUUGACGGGGGCCGGCACAAGCGGUGGAUUAUGUGGAUUAAAUUCGAUGCAACGCGAAAAACCUUAACCUGGCCUUGACAUGCCACUAACGAAGCAGAGAUGCAUUAGGUUGCCCGUAACGGGAAAGUGGACACAGGUGCUGCAUGGCUGUCGUCAGCUCGUGUCGUGAGAUGUUGGGUUAAGUCCCGCAACGAGCGCAACCCUUGCCAUUAAUUGCCAUCAUUU
rnacentral:rRNA from 1 species